CAGUAGCCGCGGGAAUACGUAGGGUGCAAGCGUUAAUCGGAAUUACUGGGCGUAAAGCGUGCGCAGGCGGUUAUAUAAGACAGAUGUGAAAUCCCCGGGCUCAACCUGGGAACUGCAUUUGUGACUGUAUAGCUAGAGUACGGCAGAGGGGGAUGGAAUUCCGCGUGUAGCAGUGAAAUGCGUAGAUAUGCGGAGGAACACCGAUGGCGAAGGCAAUCCCCUGGGCCUGUACUGACGCUCAUGCACGAAAGCGUGGGGAGCAAACAGGAUUAGAUACCCCUGUAGUCCCUGUCUCUUAUCA
rnacentral:rRNA from 1 species